GACGUAUUUAUGGUCAAAUUCCCAUGGAUACUAGCUUUAUAUUCCCUCAGAAGGAACACGGGUGAAUUGUCGUUCUCAUCCCCAACUUUAACCCUAACCAUCACGAAACCUGACUUACCACCUCCAUCGGUAGCCAUCACAGAAGGUAUGCUGUAUAUGACCGUUCCAUAUUCUCCGAAGUCAUCGUCAGUGGCUAUCACGCUGGUGACCAAUCUACCAGGCAACUGAUUCUCGAAUACCGUUACUUCGACCACCGGAUUGGGAAACUUAGGAUUGUGUCUGUUGGCAGGAUGAAAACAAGAUUUAUACGAAGAAGAAAGAUUGAAAGGACGUAACAGGAUUUCUACUACGUUGGAGCCGGACUUAAUAACCACUUACCCGUGUCGUUAUCUCUGGAGCUGACUCUCAACACGGAAGUGCCGAACGGCGCUGCCUCGGAUACCGAGAUGUUGUACGAGUCUUGAGUGAAUUCGGGCGGGCAAUCGUUCACGUCCAGUACCAGAAUGCUAACGAGCACCUCCGCGUAGACGCCUGAUACGCUGUCCGUCGCGCGGACGGUCAGUUCGUACUGUUUCUUCUGCUCGUAAUCCAACUCGUCCACCACGUAGAUUACACCUGAUUUAUCGAAGAGAAGAUUGUAGACCCAAAAGCAUUCUAUGCAGCGGUAGCGUCCACAAAGCCGAGAAACUUUUCCUUUAUGUUCGUGAUGCUGAAUAAUAGCGUGGAGGAUUCGUGUGUCUGUCUAAUUUGUGUCGCGUGUAUUUUUUUAGAUUUUUUUCGUAUACACUUCUUUCUAUCCUCUCUAUUUUAUUAUACUUUUUUCCCGGACGAACGUGUCGAUGUGCUACAUCUUUUGAAUUCUUUGUUAUGAUGUACGUGUAUAUAAUAAGAAAAAUAAUAAUAGUAACAAUCGUUAAAUUUAAUUUAAUUUUAAUACAAAGGAUUAAUCUAAUCUCUGUGAAAUUUUUCUUUAUUUCUUUUUAAAAUUAUCGAGAUGCAACAAAGUUUUUUAAUUGUUUACAAAAUAGUUACAAAAAAAAAAAUUAUUGGAAUUGAAUGAGAAGACUAAACUUUGCAUAAGAUUUCUUAUCUAUUUAUUUUUUUAAAUCAUUAAAGUUAGAUAUAAUAUUAUUAUUUAUUAUUUAUAUAUCAUAAAAAAAGAUUUAAAGGAAGUCUCAUUUAAAUCUAUUUAGAGAUUGCACAUCGACAGGUUGACUUUUUCCUUUUGGAGAGUAGCAUGAAAAGCAGCAUAGUUUAUCGAUGCUUAAACUUAAUGCAGAUAUCAUUAAUAGAAUUUAAUGAGGUGUAGAGAUGCGGUUCUCAUUGUCUUUUUUUUUUUCCCAGUAAUGAUGACUCGGAUAAUUGAAGGAGUUGCUCGGUUUCGCGGACACCAAGAAGAGACACUGAAUGCAAGUCACGUGGUAAACACGUUUAUACAAGACGGUUGGAUACCGUGAAUGAAUUUGCGGAUGCUACCAGAAAUGUCUGCACCUUUGAACAUGUUGUGCAACUUAACAGGUUGACUCCAUUCAUUUGAUUGAUCUUUUUCUUUGGAAUAUUAUGGAAAAAAAUUAUGUGAGAUUAUUUCUUGAGAUCUCCAUAUAUAAUAUUUUUAAUAGGAUUGAAAUAUUAAUUAUUUAGAAAAUUUUUUAGAAAUUUUUUUAUCACAUAAAUAUUUUUAAACAAAAAAAAAUUUGUAGAUCAUUUUCCAUUCUUAAUAAUAAAACUUUAGUAUUUAAUGUAGAUUAUAAAUUUUUUAUUAUUAUCAGUAUAUCUUAUAUUUUUAUUAUUCCAAUUGUGAAAAAUAUCAAACAUCUCACAAUUUUUUAAAAAUAUCUUUUUCAAAUCAAUUAUUUUACCAAUCUUCAGGAAGAUAAUUUUUAAUUUCAAUACUUCAGUAAGAAUUCUAAUUAAAAAAUAUCGAAGUAAGAUCAGAAAAUGUUGCAAAACGAAGGAAACGCAAUUUUGCAAGCAGGAUAGAACUCCGUUAUUUCUUGAUCGAUCUCGAGAAGUGAAUAAGCGAAUAUUUCGUCACGUAUCGCAGUCAACCUGUUACAAACGAGUUGCCUGUUCCCUUUCUCGCCAUACACAUUGUAGCUCGUUUAAGGUACAAGCACCGUAUCUUUUUUCGAUUCUGCACGCGACGUAAGGUGCAGGCACGCCAUGCGAAAAAAUAAGAGUAAAAGCCGCGAGAAUCACGGUGCUUAUAAGUAAAAAAAAUAAAAAAAAAAAAUCAGAAAAAAGGAACUAGGUAGAGAAAAAGUAGUGUACCGAUGUUAAGCUCAGCAUCUAGACGCGAUCUAGAUUAUACAGUGGCUGCAAAAAGUAUUUGCACAUAUUAAGUGCAUUAAACUACCUUAUUUUCCAAAUAAAAUACUUUUUCCUCGUUUUUCAUUUCCAUACUAUCAAAUUUUUACAAUUAUAAUGAAAAUAUUAUUAAAUUAUACGUCUGGAGCAGGAGUUCAUUCCUGAAUUUUUUUAUUUUUAAAAUUUUUUUAAAGUAUAAGAAUAAUAAAAAAAGAAAUAGUCGAAUAAUAAACAAUCUAUAUUGUCCAUGAAAAAUGAGAAACAUACAGAUAUUUGUCUACAGUAAAUAUAACUAUAUAGCGAGUAUAAUAGUGUGCAAAUACUUUUUGCAGCGACUACAUGUCACCGCGAGGAGUGUGGUCUUCGUUAACCACGUUGACCACGUAUUGACGUUUAAAAGCAAUAAUGUGCUCCAAACCCGUUUUUCACGCGGCUUCGUUGCUUCUAUAUAUGAGAUAAUAGGACCGGUUGGAUGGGAGACGGUGAGUAAAAGUAAGUGCAAAAAUGUACGAUCAAAAGCGAUCUUCUUUUACUUUGGGAAAGGGGAUUAACAUGCCACGUUGAGCCUUACUUUUUCUUGGAUUUAAUCUUUUUUUUUUUUUUCUUUUUGUUUUUUAUACAGAAUCGUGCAUAGUCAUUGACAAGCAGUUAGUUGUCGUGAAAAAUGACGGACAUCGUGCACGAGCCGUGCAAUUAUGGAAGCUGUGUAUGGCGGACGAAAGCCUCGACCGCCCAAGCGGUCGAUUCCGAUUUAUAUUUCGUAUAAUUUGAUUUAACUGAUUCUGAAAUUAUUACUCAAUGAUUCAAGAAUGAUAUAUAAUUUAAUACAAUAGAAAUACAUAUGUUUAUCAUUUACAAUUAAAUAUCUAUACCGACGAUUUUCUUGCUAUCGGCUUGAAUUCGACAAUCGAUAUCUCGCGUGAAAUCCGGAUCGUUAUUCUAAUUUACUCUUUGACGUGAUGCACAGGAUUGAUAUUAAUCCAAUAGAUAACCGACAGGAUGUGGAUUUAUCGCGAGAAUCGGAUCCUUUUCGUGCAUGAAAAUCAUCAUAGAAAGAGAGAGAAAAAAAAAGAGAGAAAGAGAGCAGUGCAGUAGCGUGAUACAGUGCAACACAGCAGACCGAUAGAACUAGUAUUUUUUAUACUCACAAGGACCAUUGUUACUGUCGGGGGCUGCGAAACAGGGAGAUACAACAACACUUUAAUUUCUAGUUUAAUCAGAUAAGCAUUCGUAAAGAAUAAAUUAUAAGGGAGGGAUUGGUAAAGAGAGGAGAAUUAAUUGAUUAAAAUAAAUAAAUAAAUAAAUAAAUAAAUAAACUACUACAAAUAAAUAUAAAUAAAUAGUAAUAAUAGCGGAACGUACGUAAAUUUGAAUUAUCGUGGGGCGGAAUUAAAUUGAGAUAUAAAUAUAAUUAUUUAUGAUUAAUUCACGUAUACGACAACAAAUUAACCGUAUAAUUGUAACUGCAGCUUGUGUUACGUGCGAUACAUUCCAACAUCCCCAAUUUGCUACUGUUGUCUCACCACUACACCGUGACUUGAUUAGAAUUUAGUCACCGAAUACCAUGUAUACAGCGGAGCCAACGCGUCAUUCGUUAAAGUGGAAAGCGCGGUUGUUUGUGUAUCGAGGUUAUCGAGAUAAAUCAUUUAUAUUUAA